GACAAUGUGGUGUAGUGAUCUGAGCACUGGACUACGAUUCUGGAGACCAGGGUUUGAAUCCCCGCUUGGCCA